GCUGGAUGCCGACGAGCGGCGGACGGGUGAGUAAUGCAUAGGAAUCUGCCCAGUCGUGGGGGAUAACCUGGGGAAACCCAGGCUAAUACCGCAUACGUCCUACGGGAGAAAGCGGGGGCUUCGUGUUCUUCGGAAUGGGGACCUCGCGCGAUUGGAUGAGCCUAUGUCGGAUUAGCUGGUUGGUGAGGUAACGGCUCACCAAGGCGACGAUCCGUAGCUGGUCUGAGAGGAUGAUCAGCCACACCGGGACUGAGACACGGCCCGGACUCCUACGGGAGGCAGCAGUGGGGAAUAUUGGACAAUGGGCGCAAGCCUGAUCCAGCCAUGCCGCGUGUGUGAAGAAGGCUUUCGGGUUGUAAAGCACUUUCAGUGGGGAAGAAGGCCUGGCGGUCAAUACCCGCCAGGGACGACAUCACCCACAGAAGAAGCACCGGCUAACUCCGUGCCAGCAGCCGCGGUAAUACGGAGGGUGCGAGCGUUAAUCGGAAUUACUGGGCGUAAAGCGCGCGUAGGCGGCCAAGUAAGCCGGUUGUGAAAGCCCCGGGCUCAACCUGGGAAUGGCAUCCGGAACUGGUUGGCUAGAGUGCAGGAGAGGAAGGU
rnacentral:rRNA from 1 species